CGAACGCUGGCGGCGCGUUUUAAGCAUGCAAGUCGAGCGGUAGGUUAGUGCUUGCACUAACUGAGAGCGGCGAACGGGUGAGUAACGCGUAGGUGAUCUGCCUUUCGGUUGGGGAUAGCCCAUGGAAACAUGGGGUAAUACCGAAUGAGUUCCUUGUGCUUUGGUGUGAGGAGGAAAGAGGCUACGGCCUCGCCGAGAGAUGAGCCUGCGUCUGAUUAGCUAGUUGGUGUGGUAAAGGCGCACCAAGGCGACGAUCAGUAGCCGGCCUGAGAGGGUGACCGGCCACAUUGGGACUGAGACACGGCCCAGACUCCUACGGGAGGCAGCAGCUAAGAAUCUUCCGCAAUGGGCGAAAGCCUGACGGAGCGACGCCGCGUGGGUGAAGAAGGCCGAGAGGUUGUAAAGCCCUUUUCUCACUGAAGAAUAAUUUCAAUAGGGAAUGAUUGAGAGAUGACGUUAGGUGAGGAAUAAGCUCCGGCCAAUUAC
rnacentral:rRNA from 1 species